CCAACAAAAACAACAGCAGCAACAACAAAAAAUAAAACACAAACACAAACAGCAGCAACAACCUCAAAACCGGUCACAACCAAACCCCCAGCUGCUUCUGACCAAGACAAGAAGCAUCCAGAGGCCCUGAGCUCAGGAAGUGUUGCUGCCAUUGUAAUUUGCUUUAUUGCCAUUGUACUAAUUUUACUUGGUGGUGCAUACUACUUCAAAAUGCGACGCUCUACUUACGGACGUCUCUUGGAUGAUAGUGAACACAGCUCUUUGGGGAAUUUUCUUAACCCCGUGUUUGAUGGCUAAAUGGGGAAGUGUUCAUGAAGAAACAUUUUUUUUUCUAAAGGAAACAUCCUACACGUCUCUUGCAAUUUAUGGUAACAUCAGAUUCAGUAUUUUGGAUCUAAAAUAAGAUGCACUGACCAGAAUCAUCAGGACGUUUCAGAGUGUAGGCAACACUUCCUGUGAGUAUUAGUAUGAAGGCAGGUUACGGGGCAUUUUGGUCCAGUUAAAAGAAAAUGUUAAGUGAUGUCCUAGAAAUGUAAUGUUUGUGUAAUGUAUCAUCUUGGGUAUAUUGUUUAACUUCCUCAUAUUGCUUGCUCUGUUUGUCUCAUGAUGAUGAUUUUUUUUUUUUUUUUAUCGAAGCCUCAUCUCUCAAACAGGCCAAAAUGCGAUCAUUAUUGGUCUCAAAGAGUGACCUUAUCAUAUACCAUAAUUACAGCUCUGGCCUCAGCUGUGGCCUCCCACUAUUCAUCCAAAGACAGUCUCUGUUUUAAAAGUGAAGACCGUUUAACAUUUCUGUAACCUCAACAAUAACAGAUUUUUCCCCUUGUCAUUAUAAUGGCAGGGACUCACAAGCAGCAUGCAAUUAAGCAUUUAAACCGUCAAGACUGUUAUUAGAGACAUAAAAAUAAGCCAUCAAGCAAAUUGAGGCACAUUACCGAAACAUCUGGUGUUCUUGGCUGUUUGAGAUGGGGUUUAGUUAGUCGUGCUACAGCAGUUUGCCACGUCCAGAUAUGCGUUUUUGAAUGUUUAAACCCUUUUCUGUAGUUUCCUCUCCUAGUUUUUUGCUACCUGUUUAACAGAAACCACUGUUUCCUGUUUUUGCAAAUGCUCUAGUUUCAAGAAUGGUAUAAACCACAGGAGCACUGCCUAAAUCUCUGGUCUAAAGCUGCAGCAACUGAUUGUAAAAAAGGUCAAUGUCUAUGUAAAAGUAUUAAAAAUCACUAAUAUAUCAUAUAAUAGAUUUUUUUUCUUCUUAUUUCACGAGUACUUUAUUGGACAGAACAUUUGUUUAAAAUCAGAGGAGUUCCUGUGUGUUGUACUUUUUCCUGUGUGAUUAAUGUUUCAUGCCACUUUCAUGAAGAUGUUUUAGAAAACUAUAUUUAGAUGGUGUCCCAAAUUUUAGUUGCAGAAAUGGCAAAACUCAUAUGAAUAAAUGAGUGGAGAAUAAAACGGCUCAUAUAAAACUGAA